GACAGAGGGUGCAAACGUUGUUCGGAAUUACUGGGCGUAAAGCGCGUGUAGGCUGCUCGGAAAGUCGGAUGUGAAAGCCCUGGGCUUAACCCAGGAAGUGCACUCGAAACUCCCGAGCUCGAGUCCUGAGAGGAAGGCGGAAUUCUCGGUGUAGGGGUGAAAUUCGUAGAUAUCGAGAGGAACAUCGGUGGCGAAAGGGCAGG
rnacentral:rRNA from 1 species